AAAUAAGGCACCUGCAGAUUUUCUGUUUCUCUGGAAAUGGUGUGCCCCAUGGACCUGUGAGAAAAGCACACAGACACGACCAAAGAGAGGUAUCAUAGCACAGGAAGACAUGGAUUCAAAUCCUGCUUCUAAAACCUACUUCCAGGUUGUGCACAUCAUGGACAGAGGUGGAGUCAAGACUCAAAAAUGCUAGAAAUGGAAGGAACCUUCAGAGGUCUUCACCUAGGGUACAGAAGCUACCAUCCACCUCCAUCCCUCCCAGCUCCAGUCUCAUCCAUGGAGCCCCUGCAAUCUGACCACCCAGAAAAAUAAAGAGAGAUCUUCACUUGUGGGGAAUGAGAUUGUGAAAGCUCAUUCCAUCCAUCAACAUUCUAAAUGGAACAUCAGAGCUAUGUAACUCUACAUGCUUUUCUUG